GAGUAAUGUCUGGGAAACUGCCUGAUGGAGGGGGAUAACUACUGGAAACGGUGGCUAAUACCGCAUAACGUCGCAAGACCAAAGAGGGGGACCUUCGGGCCUCUUGCCAUCAGAUGUGCCCAGAUGGGAUUAGCUAGUUGGUGAGGUAACGGCUCACCAAGGCGACGAUCCCUAGCUGGUCUGAGAGGAUGACCAGCCACACUGGAACUGAGACACGGUCCAGACUCCUACGGGAGGCAGCAGUGGGGAAUAUUGCACAAUGGGCGCAAGCCUGAUGCAGCCAUGCCGCGUGUAUGAAGAAGGCCUUCGGGUUGUAAAGUACUUUCAGCGGGGAGGAAGGUGUUGUGGUUAAUAACCGCAGCAAUUGACGUUACCCGCAGAAGAAGCACCGGCUAACUCCGUGCCAGCAGCCGCGGUAAUACGGAGGGUGCAAGCGUUAAUCGGAAUUACUGGGCGUAAAGCGCACGCAGGCGGUCUGUCAAGUCGGAUGUGAAAUCCCCGGGCUCAACCUGGGAACUGCAUUCGAAACUGGCAGGCUUGAGUCUUGUAGAGGGGGGUAGAAUUCCAGGUGUAGCGGUGAAAUGCGUAGAGAUCUGGAGGAAUACCGGUGGCGAAGGCGGCCCCCUGGACAAAGACUGACGCUCAGGUGCGAAAGCGUGGGGAGCAAACAGGAUUAGAUACCCUGGUAGUCCACGCCGUAAACGAUGUCUACUUGGAGGUUGUGCCCUUGAGGCGUGGCUUCCGGAGCUAACGCGUUAAGUAGACCGCCUGGGGAGUACGGCCGCAAGGUUAAAACUCAAAUGAAUUGACGGGGGCCCGCACAAGCGGUGGAGCAUGUGGUUUAAUUCGAUGCAACGCGAAGAACCUUACCUGGUCUUGACAUCCACAGAACUUUCCAGAGAUGGAUUGGUGCCUUCGGGAACUGUGAGACAGGUGCUGCAUGGCUGUCGUCAGCUCGUGUUGUGAAAUGUUGGGUUAAGUCCCGCAACGAGCGCAACCCUUAUCCUUUGUUGCCAGCGGUCCGGCCGGGAACUCAAAGGAGACUGCCAGUGAUAAACUGGAGGAAGGUGGGGAUGACGUCAAGUCAUCAUGGCCCUUACGACCAGGGCUACACACGUGCUACAAUGGCGCAUACAAAGAGAAGCGACCUCGCGAGAGCAAGCGGACCUCAUAAAGUGCGUCGUAGUCCGGAUUGGAGUCUGCAACUCGACUCCAUGAAGUCGGAAUCGCUAGUAAUCGUGGAUCAGAAUGCCACGGUGAAUACGUUCCCGGGCCUUGUACACACCGCCCGUCACACCAUGGGAGUGGGUUGCAAAAGAAGUAGGUAGCUUAACCUUCGGGAGGGCGCUUACCACUUUGUGAUUCAUGACUGGGGUGAAGUCGUAACAAGGUAACCGUAGGGGAACCUGCGGUUGGAUCACCUCCUUACCUGAAAGAA
rnacentral:rRNA from 1 species